rnacentral:rRNA from 1 species
AUUGAACGCUGGCGGCGUGCCUAACACAUGCAAGUCGAGCGGUAACAGGUGUAGCAAUACAUGCUGACGAGCGGCGGACGGGUGAGUAACGCUUGGGAAUCUGCCUAUUAGUGGGGGACAACCCGGGGAAACUCGGGCUAAUACCGCAUACGCUCUACGGAGGAAAGCCGGGGACCGCAAGGCCUGGCGCUAAUAGAUGAGCCCAAGUCGGAUUAGCUAGUUGGUAGGUAAUGGCCUACCAAGGCGACGAUCCGUAACUGGUCUGAGAGGACGACCAGUCACACCGGAACUGAGACACGGUCCGGACUCCUACGGGAGGCAGCAGUGGGGAAUAUUGGACAAUGGGCGAAAGCCUGAUCCAGCGACGCCGCGUGGGUGAAGAAGGCCUGC